UACGGGGGGGCAAGCGUUGUUCGGAAUUACUGGGCGUAAAGGGCGCGUAGGCGGCCUACUAAGUCGGACGUGAAAUCCCUCGGCUCAACCGAGGAACUGCGUCCGAUACUGGCAGGCUGGAAUCCGGGAGAGGGAUGUGGAAUUCCAGGUGUAGCAGUGAAAUGCGUAGAUAUCAUGAGGAAUACCAGAGGCGAAGGCGGCUACCUGGACAAUUGCUGACGCUCGAGGCACGAAAGCGUGGGGAGCAAAAGGG
rnacentral:rRNA from 1 species